UACCAUGCUGAUUUUAAAAAUGUCCCUUGUGUUUUUACCUUCCUUUCCAAAGUUUUACAGAUCUCCUGUACCACCUGUACCUACCCAAAGGCUACCAUUACACAGGAUAAAAAAGCAAGAACUGCUGCAACGCUCCUCAUUAAUGGGACUCCCGGAAGCCCUCCUGUGUCUCUGUGUUUCCUGGCUGCCUUUAUCCAAAUGCACGUGUAUUUAGCUCAAACAUCAUUUCGUAACGACUUAGCCUUGUGUGUUAUGCAGUUUCUGUGUUUUUACAGUCUUUGGAAAUACAACAUUUAGUAACUACACAAUGUUCCACUGUCAAGGUAAAGUCCAACAGGACAGUAGAAGAUGCACACAGCAGGGGAGAUAAACACGACAUGCCCCUCACCACCUUGUUUGCAUGAAGUGUUUACUGUGAGCAGAGAAUUCCAAUAGCACCAAGGAGCAGAGGAGCUGAGAGGGAGAGAGAGAUAGAGCAAGCACAAGGUGAGGAGGAUGUGCUACAGUAUAGCUGAGCCAACAGACACUGCCAGCCUGAAACCACACUCAGCAGUGAACCAGGACUGCUUCCAGUGCAACACAAAGGCAAAGUGUUGGGAGAAACAUAAACAACCAAGGAACCUGGACAUAUCCUUUCUUACUCGUGUUACUUUCCUGUGUCAGCCAACCACUUAUGAUGAAAAUGCCAACAUAGAAGGCAAGGAAGAGAGGGUAAUCCAUAGACUUUUCCUUUUACUGUCAAACCGGAAGUGGAAAGUGCCUGUAGAUGUGUAAAUAUCAAGAAGCAGAAUAAAGUCAGUCAAAUUA